CCUGGCUCCAGGUACAGGCAACCCUCACUGAGCGCGGGGCUUAGGCAGCCCCUGUCUCGAGGCCCAGGCACCCGCUCCGGACCCCUAGAACUUAGGAGUCUGGCUUCUCUCCAUCAUCUUAGGAAUCGGAGCUCAGCAAGAAGCGAAAGAAAUGCCAGAGCCUGGAGCAGGAGGCCCGGAAAAAGCAGAGGCGAUGUGAGGAGCUGGAACUGCAGCUGAGAGAAGCGCAGAACUGGUGGAGGAGAACUCCCGGCUCAGUGGGAGAGCCCCAGAGAAGGAGCAGGUACCACUUCCGCCCAGGUGGAGUGGGAGAAUGCGGAGCUGAGGGGCCAGCUCCUGGGGGUGACACGGGAGAGGGACUCAGCCCUUCGCAAGAGCCAGGGCCUGCAGAGCAAGCUGGAGAGCCUGGAGCAAGUGCUGAAGAUCUUCUCUAGAAAUGGCCAAGUGGGGGCUCUGGCCUUGACUCGGAUCUUGUGUGUCAGCACCUUCGGGAGGUGGCCCAGCGGCGGCAGCAGCUGGAGGUGGAGCAUGAACAGGCUCGGCUCAGCCUACGGGAGAAGCAGGAGGAGGUCCGGAGGCUGCAGCAGGUGGGGCGGCAGUGAGGGAAGCUGGCAGGCUGCUGGACACCAGCGUUGCCACUCACUCAUUCCACAAGCAUUUACUGUGUGCCCGGCACUGCGCUAGGCGUCGGGGAGACUGUGGGGAACAAAGACCAGGUCCCUGAGCAGUCACAGUGGCUCAUGUCUGUAAUCCCAACAGUUUAGAAGGCCAAGGCAAGAGAAUCACUUGAGGCCAGGAGUUCA